GGCGGCGUGGAUAGGGCAUGCAGUCAAGGGGGUCGCAAGACAACCGGCAGACGAGAUAGUAAUAAGUAGGUACGAACCUCAAAGUCAGGAAUAGCUCAUCGAAAGGUGAGGUAAUACUUGAUAGUCCCGUAAGGGUAAAGAUUUAUCGCUUUGAGAUCGGCCUGCUCGGUAUCAGCUAGUUGGUAAGGUAAUGGCUUACCAAGGCAAUGACGCCUAGGGGGGGUGAGAGCCUGUUCCCCAUCGAUGGAACUGAGAUACGGUCCAUACACCUACGGGUGGCUGCAGUCGAGAAUAUUCGACAAUGGGCGAAAGCCUGAUCGAGCGACGCCGCGUGCAGGAUGAAGUGCUUCGGUAUGUAAACUGCUUUUGUGAACCAGAAAGUUUAUUGAUCGGUUCAAGAAUAAGAGGUUGCUAAACUCGUGCCAGCAGCAGCGGUAAUACGAGUGCCUCGAGCGUUAUCCGGAAUCAUUGGGCGUAAAGGGUGUGCAGGCGGUCUGAUUAGUCUUUUGUUAAAUUCUUCGGCUUAACCGGGGACACGCAAGGGAAACGGUCAGACCAGAGGAUGCGAGAGGUUAACGGGACUCAUAGUGUAGCGGUGAAAUGCGUUGAUAUUAUGGGGAACACCAAAUGCGAAGGCAGUUAACUGGAGCACUCCUGACGCUGAAACACGAAGGCGUGGGUAGCGAAUGGGAUUAGAUACCCCAGUAGUCCACGCCCUAAACGAUCUUCUCUAGGUUUUCGGAGUAUCGACCCUCCGGGAGCCACAGCUAACGCGUUAAGAGAAGCGCCUGGGUAGUACGACCGCAAGGUUAAAACUCAAAGGAAUAGACGGGGACUUGCACAAGCGGAGGAUCAUGUGGUUUAAUUCGAUAACAAACGAAGAACCUUACCAGGGUUAGAAAUGUAACUGAAGAAUAGAAGAAACUUUAUUCGUCCGCAAGGACAGUUGCACAGGUGAUGCAUGGCCGUCGUCAGUUCGUGGUUUGAAUUGUUCCCUUAAGUGGGGUAACGAACGCAACCCUCGUUGCCUGUUUUAAAUGUCAGGCGAGACUGCCCUCGAUUUUGGAUAUCAACUUAGUUGGUGUACAGAAUCGAGGGAGGAAGGCGAGGAUGACGCCAGGUCAGCAUGUCCCUUUGAUACCCUGGGCUACACACGUGAUACAAUGGCGCACUACAGAGCGACGCAAUACCGAAAGGUGGAGCAAAUCGUCUAAAAGUGGCCUAAGUUCGGAUUGAAGUCUGCAACUCGACUUCAUGAAGCUGGAUUCGCUAGUAAUCGCAGGUCAGCUAUACUGUGGUGAAUAUGUUCUCAAGUCUUGUACUCACCGCCCGUCAACUCAAGGGAAUUGGGGAUACCCGAAGUCUGUAUUAUACGGCCUACGUAAUCA
rnacentral:rRNA from 1 species